AUUGAACGCUGGCGGCAGGCCUAACACAUGCAAGUCGAACGAGUUGCGGACGGGUGAGUCAUGUCUGGGAAACUGCCCGAUGGAGGGGGAUAACUACUGGAAACGGUAGCUAAUACCGCAUACCAUCAGAUGUGCCCAGAUGGGAUUAGCUAGUAGGUGGGGUAACGGCUCACCUAGGCGACGAUCCCUAGCUGGUCUGAGAGGCUGACCAGCCACACUUGAACUGAGACACGGUCCAGAAUCCUCCGGGAGGCAGCAUUGGGGAAUAUUGCACAAUGGGCGCAAGCCUGAUGAAGCCAUGCCGCGUGUAUGAAGAAGGCCUUCGGGUUGUAAAGUACUUUGAGCGAGGAGGCGUUACUCGCAGAAGAAGCACCGGCUAACUCCGUGCCAGCCGCCGCGGUAAUUC
rnacentral:rRNA from 1 species